rnacentral:rRNA from 1 species
CCAAUAGCGUAUAUUAAAGUUGUUGCAGUUAAAAAGCUCGUAGUUGAAUUUCGGGAUCAAUAUGUCGGUCGUGCCUCGGUACGUACUGGCGUCAUUGGUUUCUACCUUCUGAAGAACCUCGAUGUCAUUAAUUUGGUGUCGUGGGGAAUCAGGACUGUUACUUUGAAAAAAUUAGAGUGUUUAAAGCAGGCUCACGCUUGAAUACAUUAGCAUGGAAUAAUGUAAUAGGACGUUUGAUUCUAUUUUGUUGGUUUCUAGGAUCGACGUAAUGAUUAAUAGGGAUAGUUGGGGGCAUUAGUAUUCAAUUGUCAGAGGUGAAAUUCUUGGAUUUAUUGAAGACUAACUACUGCGAAAGCAUUUGCCAAGGAUGUUUUCAUUAAUCAAGAACGAAAGUUAGGGGAUCGAAGACGAUCAGAUACCGUCGUAGUCUUAACCAUAAACUAUGCCGACUAGGGAUCGGAUGAUGUUAAUUUUUUAAUGACUCAUUCGGCGCCUUACG